CCUACGGGUGGCAGCAGUGGGGAAUAUUGGACAAUGGGCGAAAGCCUGAUCCAGCCAUGCCGCGUGUGUGAAGAAGGCCUUCGGGUUGUAAAGCACUUUCAGUGGGGAAGAAAGCCUUGGGGCUAAUACCCUCGAGGAGGGACAUCACCCACAGAAGAAGCACCGGCUAACUCCGUGCCAGCAGCCGCGGUAAUACGGAGGGUGCGAGCGUUAAUCGGAAUUACUGGGCGUAAAGCGCGCGUAGGCGGUCUGAUAAGCCGGUUGUGAAAGCCCCGGGCUCAACCUGGGAACGGCAUCCGGAACUGUCAGGCUAGAGUGCAGGAGAGGAAGGUAGAAUUCCCGGUGUAGCGGUGAAAUGCGUAGAGAUCGGGAGGAAUACCAGUGGCGAAGGCGGCCUUCUGGACUGACACUGACGCUGAGGUGCGAAAGCGUGGGUAGCAAACAGGAUUAGAUACCCUAGUAGUC
rnacentral:rRNA from 1 species